GGUAAGGUGGCUGAAGUAAAGCAUUAGGCUGUAAAUCUAACCAUGGGGGUUCUAGUCCCCUUCUUACCA
rnacentral:tRNA from 1 species